AAAAUUUCAGGGCAAAUCCAUCUAAAGGUGGAGACGCAAAGCCGUAGGGUCUAAGGCACUUUGUGCUAUGAUUGCCUGGCGGCCAAA
rnacentral:ncRNA from 2 species